GUAUCUGUAGAAAGGUCAAUUGGUUAGAACAUGGUGCUGAUAAUGCCAAGGUUGCAGGUUCAAUUCCUAUAUAGGACA